GUCCACGCUGUAAACGAUGAGUGCUAGAUAUCGGGAAACAUGUUUUCGGUUUCAAAGCUAACGCAUUAAGCACUCCGCCUGGGGAGUACGAUCGCAAGAUUAAAACUCAAAGGAAUUGACGGGGGCUCGCACAAGCAGUGGAGCAUGCGGUUUAAUUCGAUGCUACGCGAAAACCUUACCAACCCUUGACAUGGUGGUCGUAGUCCGCAGAGAUGUGGGCGUCAGUUCGGCUGGACCACACACAGGUGUUGCAUGGCUGUCGU
rnacentral:rRNA from 1 species